rnacentral:lncRNA from 1 species
UCAAACUAUUCCUCAAUAUUCAGAGGUUAAAAUGAGUUGAACUUGCUGGUUUUCAAGUGUUUUAUUCAAGUUUUGGCUGCAUUUUGACUAUUGAGUAUCAUUUGAUCUUUCUAAUAGUUGGAAUUUGGCUCAAAACUGGUUUUUGUCCUUGGUUAUUCUUGGGUUGGUUCUGUUGAUGUGGUCCAUCCUACUACUGAACUAUCCAUUUCUGCUUUUGUUUUGAAAUCCAGGUAUACAUUUCUGCCCUCCAUUUGAAUGUAAGGCUUGAUUUGGGAAUGGAAAGUGCUAUAUGGAGCUUUGAGCCAUGUUCACUUUUAUUAGGAUUGAUAAUCUUGUUUUGCUCUAAAAGUUCCAUGUACUGUCUCUCCAACCCUGAGAAAUAUAAUCAAACACUUAGCCUCUGAGUAUCAUGUGUUGUGAUAGCUUAGUUUGAGGUCCAUCUCAAUAUAGUUCUUUACAUGUAUUCAUUUUUACUAUUUAUUUGUUUUAAGGUAAGUAAUUGGACUGGUUUAAGUGCAGUUGGUUUGAGUUUGCUUUUAGGAUAUUAGAUAUAUGUUGAUGGAGGUUUCUCAGGCCAUUGUAAGGUCAAUAUCUGCUUGUUUGGAGGGGAAAUUAAGAUAUGCUUCAUGGCUUUUUAUAGAUCUGACUGAGGUUGGUUUCAUGUAUAACUUACAUCUGCUUUUGGAAUCUGAAUUGUGUAUCACAUUUAUCUAGUGCGUCUUUAGAACUCAACCAGGGCCUUUCUAUUCUUGAGAACUGAUAUUCAAGCCAUGAAUUUACAAUUCGAUAAGUUCCAAGCCUGCUAAUAGUAACAUGUUGACGAUGUAAUUUAUUCAAAGUGGGGUGUUGAACUUGGAAUCAGCUUUUUGGUUAUUUUGAUGAAAUUAUCUACUGGCAACGUAUAGCACUUAAAUUACCAUGUUUGUUAGUUCAUUAAAGUUCUGUUGUAAUCUUAGCUAGGUAGUAUUAUGCUUAGACAUGAAUGGUGAAGCAAAUCUUAAGCCAUUUCUGAAUACGUUUCAAGUGAAAGUAGUGUUUUAG